CAGUUUUUGAGAAACCACUUACCUGUUGAGUUUGACGUCAACGAAUUCGAGGUCGUCAUCUACAAAUCCAACAACGAAAUUGUGAUACCUAAACCGAAUGAAGAAUUCGAGGAGUACAUGGAUGACUUGCAUGAGAUAUGGAUCGCAUCCAAAGGUGUAGCCCAAUCUCGGGCGGGAGAAAUACGUAUUGGGAAUGUAAAGCUUAAAAAGAUGGAUGGAGAACCUGGCUAAUUAAUAUUUAAUAGAUUAUCUGUUAAUUGGUAGUAACCUGCAAUCACUUGUUUGCAAUUCAAAUUACUAAUGGUAAUUCAUUAUAUAUUUUAUCAUAUUAUGUAAUUGAAUGUAUUUUUGUUGAGCAUUUUUUUCUCAAUAUUACUUUUACUGCUGUUAGUAUUAUAAACUGACAUUUCCAUUUUAUUUUAUUUUACUUUAAGGUUUUUUAUAAUUUUUUUAAUAAGAUUAACCGAAUAGCGAAAAAGACCUAUGUAUUGCAAUAUUUGUGUGAAUUAAACGUUCUAAAUAUUAGCAGUUCGUUCGUAAGUGACUAUAUAGAUCAAGAGUUUAACCAUUGCUUGAGACAUUUUGCUAUGGGGGAGCGGGGGUAGUUACAAAUUUACUGAGGUGGGGCGGUGGCACCCUUCAAUUUUACCGGGGAAGGUGGACACUUGUUAAAGUAGGGCAUGUAUAUUUUUUAUAAACACUUUAUAUUAUUUCUAUUUCAUCCCAGAGGUGUUAUGCCCCCCCCCCCUCCCAAAAAAGGUGUAUGAUAGAAACUCUGAGUAUUACAGUUAAAAAGUUCACUUUAGCUUUCAGGCGUAGCUAUCUAACAAAAGUAAUAUCGUUAAAGUUAAAUAAUACCACAAUAUUGUGAAACACCUAGAAUCAAUCUAAUGUUAAAACAAAAAUGCCCGUAUAUCUUACAUUUGUUACAAUUUUAAAUUGGCAGCUCCGCUAUGGCAGCCAAAAAAAAACACAUACUUUGAAAUCACAUGUACAAUAAACAUGUUUCUCUUUUUUUUAAAAAAAGUGCACAUUACAUUUAUUUAAUCUUGCGAAUUUGUGUUUAUAUGCGUGUAUGACUGGUAAGAAAUGUAUGGCAUAGACCAGGGGUCUCCAAACUUUUCAGUCCAGGAGCCGCAUUAAAUAUCAAAUUUCAGUUCAGGGGCCAGUUUCUUCCUGGAAUGUCUUUGAUUUUACUGGGCAAAGUUCCUCAGCCAUCACCAACAAACGAUUUUUCCUUGGACAAAAAGAUCUCAGCGGGCCGGAUGAGAGGACCGCGGGCCGUAGUUUGGAGACCCCUGGCAUAGACUAAAAUAAUAUAUCAACCAUCAUUGUUUUUAUUUUUCAAAGUAAAUCAAUUUUUUAAAAAUAUUUUCACAUUUCUAUUUCCAUUCUUCCAUCUGUGGAAUAUUAGCCUGCUACAUAUAGAAUUACAUUUUUAUAAAAAGACCCUAUUUGUACACAAUGAUCAAAUGUAAAUGUGUAUGUUAUAUUUGUCAUUAUGAUUAUGAUUACUUGUGGAAAUAAAUUGGGAGUAAGCUGC